GCGAACACUGAGAUUACGGAGGGCCACUGAGAGCCAAUGGAGGCGAACACUGAGAUUACGGAGGGCGACUGAGAGCCAAUGGAGGCGAACACUGAGAUUACGGAGGGCCACUGAGAGCCAAUGGAGGUGAACACUGAGAUUACGGAGGGCCACUGAGAGCCAAUGGAGGCGAACACUGAGAUUACGGAGGGCCACUGAGAGCCAAUGGAGGUGAACACUGAGAUUAUGGAGGGCCACUGAGAGCCAAUGGAGGCGAACACUGAGAUUACG